GACACAAAUGUCUGCAUGGCAGAGGGAGGGGGGCUCCAGCCCCUUCCCCAUGUGCUGAACAUCCCAUCCCAUCCCAUUAUCCCAUCCCAUUAUCCCAUCCCAUUAUCCCAUCCCAUCCCAUCAUCCCAUCCCAUCCUGCUGGGGACAACAGCACGCCUGGAACAGCUGCCUGGCACCUUGGAAUGAUUCCCUCCCCCUGGGAGCAGGGAAGUGGCCAAAGCUGCUGGAAAUUCCAUCUUGGAGUGGGAUGGGAGUGGUGAAAGCUGUUGGAAAUCCCAGCUUGGAUUGGGACAGAAGUGGUCAAAGCUGCUGGAAUUCCAUCCUGGAGUGGGACUGGGGUGGUCAAAGCUGCUGGAAUCCCAUCCUGGAGUGGUCAAAGCUGCUGGAAUCCCAUCCUGGAGCAGUGGUGGCAGCCAGACCGAGCUCCUCCACAGUAACACCAGGUCAGGAAAAGGGAUGAGUGCCCAGACACCCCCAAACACAUCUGGGGUGCAAAUCUCAGGAUUUCCAGCCCUGAGACGCUGCCAGAGGGAUCCCAAAGGAUGCCCUGGGCCCUCUCCCCUCCCCAGACAGACACACAGGUACCCCCAGCAGCCCUGAGCUGGUGAGGGGCUCAGAAGGCUCAGCAAGGUUUGGGUUUGAACCAUGGGAAAGGUUUAUCUGCUCCAGCAGCCCAGAAUGGGACAGAACAGGGCAGAGUUAAAGUGGGCAAGUCCCAAAAGCACCUGGAGAGGUUUCCACACCUCAGGGCUGCAGCAGGUCCCAAAGAACCUCCCCAGGAGGCCGUGGGGUGGAGUUAAACAACUGCUUUAGUGUUGGCUUCUGUCUCUGGGCUCCCAGCUGGCCUCUGCCCACGCCUGGAGCAGGCACGGAGGGUCCAGGGGCUCCAGGGAGGGAUCACAGCAUGGAGGGAAGGAAUCAGCUGCUACAGGAGAGGCAGAGUCCCUGGCAGGGCCUGAGAGGGCACAGGGCAGGAGGGUCAUCGGAGAUCCAGCAGCACCACGUCCCUCUCCACCACGGACACGUGGCUGCACGUCUGCAAGAGAGGACGGGGGG
rnacentral:lncRNA from 1 species